AGUAGUCAAAGAAGAAGAGCUGGGCAAGAAGAACAAGGAAAAGGAGGUUGUGAACAUGGGGCGGCAGUUUUUCUCUUUCCCCUUUUUUCUUUCUUUUUUGCGUUUU
rnacentral:ribozyme from 14 species